GAACCUUACCUGGGCUCGAAAUGUAGUGGACCGGAGUAGAAAUAUUCCUUCCCCGCAAGGGGCCGCUAUAUAGGUGCUGCAUGGCUGUCGUCAGCUCGUGUCGUGAGAUGUUGGGUUAAGUCCCGCAACGAGCGCAACCCUUAUCCCCAGUUGCCAUCAUUAAGUUGGGCACUCUGGUGAAACCGCCUCGGAUAACGGGGAGGAAGGUGGGGAUGACGUCAAGUCCUCAUGGCCUUUAUGUCCAGGGCUACACACGUGCUACAAUGGUCGGUACAAACCGUCGCAAACCCGUGAGGGGGAGCUAAUCGGAAAAAGCCGACCUCAGUUCGGAUUGUAGUCUGCAACUCGACUACAUGAAGCUGGAGUCGCUAGUAAUCGCGGAUCAGAAUGCCGCGGUGAAUACGUUCCCGGGCCUUGUCACACCGA
rnacentral:rRNA from 1 species